UCCUUAUUAGCUCAGUUGGUAGAGCGUUCGGCUUUUAGAAUCACGUGACUAUUGUUAGUGAAUCCAAGACACCGAAACGUCCAGGGUUCGAGCCCCUGAUGAGGAG
rfam:Babjeviella inositovora NRRL Y-12698 unplaced genomic scaffold BABINscaffold_13, whole genome shotgun sequence.